rfam:Salmo salar isolate Sally breed double haploid chromosome ssa04, whole genome shotgun sequence.
UGCAUUCACUAGUGUACGUCGCUCUGUAUAAGAGCUUCUGCUAAAUGACUAAAA